UAGGGAAUCUUCGGCAAUGGACGAAAGUCUGACCGAGCAACGCCGCGUGAGUGAAGAAGGUUUUCGGAUCGUAAAACUCUGUUGUUAGAGAAGAACAAGGACGUUAGUAACUGAACGUCCCCUGACGGUAUCUAACCAGAAAGCCACGGCUAACUACGUGCCAGCAGCCGCGGUAAUACGUAGGUGGCAAGCGUUGUCCGGAUUUAUUGGGCGUAAAGCGCGCGCAGGCGGUUUCUUAAGUCUGAUGUGAAAGCCCCCGGCUCAACCGGGGAGGGGCAUUGGAAACUGGGAGACUUGAGUGCAGAAGAGGAGAGUGGAAUUCCAUGUGUAGCGGUGAAAUGCGUAGAUAUAUGGAGGAACACCAGUGGCGAAGGCGGCUCUCUGGUCUAUAACUGACGCUGAGGCGCGAAAGCGUGGGGAGCAAACAGG
rnacentral:rRNA from 1 species